rnacentral:rRNA from 1 species
UGGGGAAUCUUGCGCAAUGGGCGAAAGCCUGACGCAGCGACGCCGCGUGGGCGACGAAGGCCUUCGGGUUGUAAAGCCCUGUGGGGAGGGACGAACACCAUCCGGGUGAACAAUCCGGGUGGCUGACGGUACCUCCUUAGCAAGCAUCGGCUAACUCUGUGCCAGCAGCCGCGGUAAGACAGAGGAUGCAAACGUUGCUCGGAAUUACUGGGCGUAAAGCGCGUGUAGGCGGUUCCGCGAGUCGGGUGUGAAAGCCCGGGGCUCAACCCCGGAAGUGCACACGAUACUACGGAGCUGGAGUACUGAAGAGGAGAGCGGAAUUCCCGGUGUAGAGGUGAAAUUCGUAGAUAUCGGGAGGAACACCAGUGGCGAAGGCGGCUCUCUGGGCAGAUACUGACGCUGAGACGCGAAAGCGUGGGGAGCAAACAGG